AAAGGAAAAAGAAUGAAGAAACCCUAGCACCUAUCUCUUUCCUCUUCCUUUCACGGUGUACUCUCAUUCUUCUUCGUCUUCCACAACAGCCCUAUUAUUUUUCAUCAUCGAUGGCGACUCCACGAUAGCAUUUCCCAGCUGACGACGAUGCGAACGACAUGGCGACGUGACCCUCAGACUGUAGCGUUUUCGGCGAUGGUGCAAUAGUAACAAAUGCCUAGAUCUGAUGUUCUUCGAUGGCCCAACAAUGCGUGCGGCUCCUUUUGGGAGUCAUUUCAUGGCAGUGCAGUACUGUGGAUUGGAAGGAAGUUAUUUCUGUUCUAGGAAUGAGCAUCUAAACCCUACAAAAAGGGAAAAAAAUUCAAAGAUUCGAAGUUCAAAGCGAUGGAAGAGAGAGAAGCCAUAAGUGCGUGCGGCUCCUUUAACGGCGGCAAGGUGCAUUCAGCGGUGAUCACUUUAUGAAGAUGAUGAUGAGGUUAUUGAAUAAAAAAUUAAAGCUUUCUUGGAUGAAAAUGUAUAGAUUUUCAAUUCGAGUCUUUGAGAUAAGUGACUAUUUUGUCUUUCUAAUCAACAUUGUCAACCCUUUUAUUAAAUGCACUUGUCAGCUCUUACUUGUUCGGUUUGAUUUGCAAUACUUUAGGCUUUUGAAUUGAAGAAAAUGCAGACAGACAUACCUAUAUUUGCAAUGCCUUAGGCUUGAUCAUCAGCUUUUCCAACUAUGUGGCCAUGAUGAAAAAUAUCAUUAAUACAUUUUUUGUACAUUUUUAUGUUGUCCCCCACUUCGAUUCAGGCGUCGAGUAUAUCCUUUACUGCAUUGGGUCUUUAAUGUGGCUUAGGAAGGAUAUGCUGAAUACUCUAAUAUCCAUAAUUUAUAUCAAAAGGUAUACAACCUCAAAAUUAGAGAAAUGGUCACUUACCUUAUUUACUUGUUUUUAACUAUUUGAGCAUUAAAAUGCAUUUAAAGUAAGUUAUUCUAGUUAAUUCAAAACUUAUGAUAUAGUUUCCUAUUUAGAUAAGCCUUACAUCAAGUUUCAAAUAUAUGUUGCGUUAUAUUUCUGAAUUGAUUUGUCGUUUUGAAAUAAAAUGAAAUGGCUUCAAAUACGGAAUUCCUCUAGGGCAAAAGAUAAUUUUGUUAAUGUUGAUUAAUUAGUAAGGAUGUUUAUUUGCUGAUUUUGAUAAUGAAAUCCUUCAGUCAAUUGUAGAGGACUUUUCUACUGACAAAACAUAUAGCAAACUAAUUUAUAUGCAUAUGCUAAUUCUAGCCGCACAACAUUUUUUUGUUAUUCUUUUUGUUACAUUUACUUCUUCGUCGUUGCUUUUGAUAGCAGUAUAGCAAAUAUUCUCAUUUUCUAUGUUUGUCAAUCAUCACUUACCAUUGUAAGAAGAAGAAUAUGACAUUGAUGUUUGUUUGACACUAGGGGUGAUGUUUUUGCUUAAUGUGAAAUUAUUGAUACUUCUUUCUCUUCCAUUAAUACAUAUUUGUGUUGCUAUCCUGCAGCAAAGAUAGCCAAUUAAGACUUAAUGUUUAUAUGUGUCAUGCAUAUAAUAUAAAGUCUAGUUGGAUAAUUAUGUUGCUAUUCUGCAGCAAAGAUAGCCAAUUAAGACUUAGUGUUUAUAUUUGUGUCAUGCAUAUAGUUUAAAAUCUAGUUGGAUAAUUGUGUGACUAUCUUGUAGCAAAGAUAGCCAAUUAAGACUUAGUGUUUAUAUGUGUCAUUACGUAAUGCAUGUUGGAGUUAGAAAGAAAAUGUAGGAGUAUAGGGAAGUUUUUUCUUAAUUGUUCGUUUUAUUUUGUUGAAGGAAUAGCUUGCGGGAGCAACAUUUUGAGAAAGAAGAAUUUAUAGGGAAGAGUUUCGGCGUAUUUUCGACAUGUACGAGGUUGAUGUAAUGUGAAUAUAGUUCGUUGGGCAUUCUCUUAUUGUAAUCAUAGACUUAUAGUAUAGUAUUUGUAUAAAAUAUCCUAAUGUACAAAUUUGAUCAGACAUUGAUCUUAUUAUAUGCAACUUUGUUACAUUUUAUAAUUUAUAGA